GCCACACUUUGAGAACGCUCAGGAAGAAUUAGCAAAACUGAUCCUGCCAUAAACAAUACAACCCAAAGAGUUCUUUCCUGAGACUAAAAUUAUUUGGCUACGAGGAGGGAAGGAUGGUGAAGAAUACAGUUUAGGAAGUGAUCUAGCUGAGAAAGUUGCAGUUGGAUUAGAGUCAAAAAUUCCAGAGCAGCAGGCCCAAGGAAGAAUAACAGUAUGCAGAAAUGAGGCAUUUGGCUGCUUAAGAAAUCAAGAGAGGGGCACACAAACAGAUCUGCUUCAGAAAGCUACAGCAGAGGCAUCUGUCAUUAUUACUGUGAAGACAUUCAUGCUUGGAGGUGAAGCAAUUGUCUCAUGAACUUCUGCUUCACCUUCCACCAUGAUUGUAAGCUUCCAGAGGCUUCCCCAGAAGGAGAUGCCAACUCCAUGCUUCCUGUGCAGCCUGCAGCACC